AGCGUGCUGAAGGUGCAUUAACAAAGUCUCUUCUGCCUGUUGAACACGUACAACCUAUUUUCAACUCCUCGAAGCUUCAUCAUGAGUAAUUAUCAGGUCACCACUCAGAUCGCCAAUCAAUCUCCGUUCACUCUUACCGAUGUCAGUUAUUUUGACAACCAUGGAACAUGGCAGACUAAUUUGCCUGACAGAAUCACUCCAUCUAUGACCAUCACGGCUCUGUUCGUCCAAACUGUGGUAGCAUAUGGAGCCUCCGGAGUGUUCAACUACAAGCUGUGGGAUGACUGUACAUCAAAGAACUAUGACAUAGCAAUAAUGUUCAAUGAUCCGAUUGGCCAUCCCAACAACUUUGCCAUUGGAAUUUUUGACUGUGAUGAUAUAGAAGUUAAUCAAUACCUUUACAACCACAUGCAAAACGACAAAAGUAAAAAAUUUGCGAGAUGUCAGUCUACUCAAUUUGGAUCUUGUUCACACUCAAGAGAUUACAUUACUAUAACAGGGACAAUGACAGGCUAUCGCCUUUCGGUCCUGAAAAUACAAAUAAUACAGAAUGGUGCAUGUCUGACGAAGAGCAAGAACUUUGAGGUAAAGCCUCAACUGUCUGUCUCAACCAAGCCUGCAGCAGCCUGAGCAGAGUACAGAGGGCUGAUGACUCAGUUGACAUACAGUGCAAGUAGAGAUUGCCCAUGUCUUCACUGCCCUCUGAAACAAAGUUCAUUCAUGACUAGACUAAUAGUUAACUAUUAAUUAAAAUAACUGGAUUAAAAACCGUGAUUGUCUUGCUUUCAAUAAUUGUGCAUCCCUAAUGUAGAAUAUUAGCGAUGCUUUGUGUAUUUUCUUAAUAUGUGGGAGCAACUCAUUAGUUAAAAAUCAAGGUCUUUUGAUGUUAAUUUCCUGUCAAAAAAGUGUACCAGUAGUCAUUUCUUUUGGGCUUCAUAAGACAGUGAGGAAGUCACUCCAAUGGGUUUGGGCAAACACGUUAAUCUGUUUAAAACUUUGAAUGCAAUCAGUCUGUGGUAUAUCGGAUUUGCAGUUAAUGCAGUUAAUCUUUGUUUAAUCAACUUUGAAUAUUACACUAUUAUUAUGGUGCAUGUGGAUGUAUGUUAAUCACAAAUGAAAUGUGCACCGUCAAAAUGAUCGGCUAUUGUUUGAUAUUAGUAAUAUAUAUUAUUUUAUUUCACCUACAUUGUUUUGUUUCAGUCAGUUUUAAGACACAUGUAGGCCUACUAUACAAAGAUUCCACUUUGCACUUGGUUAAACAAUGAAGCCUAUUACAAUAAAAAGAUAAUGAUUUACAA